AAAAAUUUUAAAAAAUGAGCAAAUGAUGCAUGGUAAGCAAUGAAAUAUUGAACUGGACUAAUAAGCCAGGAGGAUAAUUAAGGUGUAUUAUUAAAAUUCCUAUUUACUUAUCAAAUGAGAAAUGCGCAGUUCGUAGUUUCCUUUUAGAGCAAGGCAUACAUACGUUCACAGAACAGAAAAACUCCCAAAUUUUCAUGGAGUUCACAUUAGGUUUAUAUUUAUUCUUCGGAGUUGCACACUGAAUAUAAGUGGAUGGCUGCAAAUUUUGCAGAUAGCAGAACAUAUUAUCAUUGCUACAACUAAUGAAUGAAGCAAAAUUACAAUCCAGAAAUCAAAUAAUAAUACAGAAAAUAAAGAUAUGAUACAAGCAUGAAAAAAUAAACAAUGAGAACAAUUAGAUAAAAACAGGAAAAAGAUACAAAUAAA
rnacentral:misc_RNA from 1 species